rnacentral:rRNA from 1 species
UACGUAGGAUGCAAGCGUUGUCCGGAAUUAUUGGGCGUAAAGAGCGCGCAGGCGGUAUGACAAGUCAGAUGUGAAAGAGGCCGGCUUAACCGGCAAGGGUCAUUUGAAACUGUCAGACUAGAGUGCAGCAGAGGAUAGUGGAAUUCCCGGUGUAGUGGUGAAAUGCGCAGAUAUCAGGAGGAACACCGGUGGCGAAGGCGGGUCUCUGGGCAGUAACUGACGCUGAGGAGCGAAAGCGUGGGUAGCAAACAGG